rnacentral:rRNA from 1 species
GACGGAGGGGACGAGCGUUGUCCGGAUUUAUUGGGCGUAAAGAGCGCGUAGGCGGCUUGGUAAGUCGGAUGUGAAACCACGAGGCUCAACCUCGUGACAGCAUUCGAAACUGCCCGGCUAGAGGUAGGUAGGGGAGAUCGGAAUUCCUGGUGUAGCGGUGAAAUGCGCAGAUAUCAGGAGGAACACCGGUGGCGAAGGCGGAUCUCUGGGCCUUACCUGACGCUGAGGCGCGAAAGCUAGGGGAGCGAACAGG